rnacentral:rRNA from 1 species
AGCUACUAAGAGCGAAUGGUGGAUGCCUUGACUGGUAAAGGCGAUGAAGGACGUACUAGACUGCGAUAAGCUACGGGGAGCUGUCAAGAAGCUUUGAUCCGUAGAUUUCCGAAUGGGGCAACCCAAUGUAUAGAGAUAUACAUUACCUAUAUAGGAGCGAACGAGGGGAAUUGAAACAUCUUAGUACCCUCAGGAAAAGAAAUCAAUAGAGAUUGCGUCAGUAGCGGCGAGCGAAAGCGCAAGAGGGCAAACCCAGUGCUUGCACUGGGGGUUGUAGGACUGCAAUGUGCAAGAGGUAAGUUUAGCAGAACAUUCUGGAAAGUAUAACCAUAGAGGGUGAUAGUCCCGUAUGCGAAAAACAAACCUUAGCUAGCAGUAUCCUGAGUAGGGCGGGACACGAGGAAUCCUGUCUGAAUCCGGGUCGACCACGAUCCAACCCUAAAUACUAAUACCAGAUCGAUAGUGCACAAGUACCGUGAGGGAAAGGUGAAAAGAACUGAGGUGAUCAGAGUGAAAUAGAACCUGAAACCAUUUGCUUACAAUCAUUCAGAGCCCUAUGUAGG